rnacentral:rRNA from 1 species
AGAGUUUGAUCCUGGCUCAGGAUGAACGCUGGCGGCGUGCUUAACACAUGCAAGUCGAACGAUGAUCCCAGCUUGCUGGGGGAUUAGUGGCGAACGGGUGAGUAACACGUGAGUAACCUGCCCUUAACUCUGGGAUAAGCCUGGGAAACUGGGUCUAAUACCGGAUAUGACUCCUCAUCGCAUGGUGGGGGGUGGAAAGCUUUAUUGUGGUUUUGGAUGGACUCGCGGCCUAUCAGCUUGUUGGUGAGGUAAUGGCUCACCAAGGCGACGACGGGUAGCCGGCCUGAGAGGGUGACCGGCCACACUGGGACUGAGACACGGCCCAGACUCCUACGGGAGGCAGCAGUGGGGAAUAUUGCACAAUGGGCGAAAGCCUGAUGCAGCGACGCCGCGUGAGGGAUGACGGCCUUCGGGUUGUAAACCUCUUUCAGUAGGGAAGAAGCGAAAGUGACGGUACCUGCAGAAGAAGCGCCGGCUAACUACGUGCCAGCAGCCGCGGUAAUACGUAGGGCGCAAGCGUUAUCCGGAAUUAUUGGGCGUAAAGAGCUCGUAGGCGGUUUGUCGCGUCUGCCCGUGAAAGUCCGGGGCUCAACUCCGGAUCUGCGGUGGGUACGGGCAGACUAGAGUGAUGUAGGGGAGACUGGAAUUCCUGGUGUAGCGGUGAAAUGCGCAGAUAUCAGGAGGAACACCGAUGGCGAAGGCAGGUCUCUGGGCAUUAACUGACGCUGAGGAGCGAAAGCAUGGGGAGCGAACAGGAUUAGAUACCCUGGUAGUCCAUGCCGUAAACGUUGGGCACUAGG